GUUGAAACACGGGCGGGUCCUGGUAAGAUCACCGAAAUUAAGCAACGUUGAGCCUGGUCAGUACUUAGAUAGGUGACCCCUUGGGAAUACCAUGUGCAGUAAU